CCUACGGGAGGCAGCAGUAGGGAAUUUUCGGCAAUGGGGGGAACCCUGAACGAGCAACGUCGCGUGAACGAAGAAGUUAUUCGUAAUGUAAAGUUCUUUUAACAGGGAAGUAAGAGAAAUCUGACGGUACCUGAAGAAUAGGCUCCGACAAACUACGUGCAAGCAGCCGCGCUAAUACGUGGGGAUCGAGCGUUAUCCGGAAUAAUUGGGCGAAAGGGGUGCGUAGAUGGCAUAGUAGGUCUUUGGUAAAAAUGCUGGGAUCAACGCAGUAGGGCAAAAGAUACUGCAAAGCUAGAGUAUGACAGAGGUAAGUGGAACUAGAGGUGUAGCGGUAAAAUGCGUAAAUAUAUGUAAGAACCCCAGUGGCGAAGGCAGCUUGCUAAGUUGAUACUGACAUUGAGGCACGAAAGCGUGGGUAGCAAACAGGAUUAGAUACCCGGGUAGUC
rnacentral:rRNA from 1 species